rnacentral:rRNA from 1 species
GAUGAACGCUGGCCGUGUGCCUAAUACAUGCAAGUCGAGCGAACGGACGAGAAGCUUGCUUCUCUGAUGUUAGCGGCGGACGGGUGAGUAACACGUGGAUAACCUACCUAUAAGACUGGGAUAACUUCGGGAAACCGGAGCUAAUACCGGAUAAUAUUUUGAACCGCAUGGUUCAAAAGUGAAAGACGGUCUUGCUGUCACUUAUAGAUGGAUCCGCGCUGCAUUAGCUAGUUGGUAAGGUAACGGCUUACCAAGGCAACGAUGCAUAGCCGACCUGAGAGGGUGAUCGGCCACACUGGAACUGAGACACGGUCCAGACUCCUACGGGAGGCAGCAGUAGGGAAUCUUCCGCAAUGGGCGAAAGCCUGACGGAGCAACGCCGCGUGAGUGAUGAAGGUCUUCGGAUCGUAAAACUCUGUUAUUAGGGAAGAACAUAUGUGUAAGUAACUGUGCACAUCUUGACGGUACCUAAUCAGAAAGCCACGGCUAACUACGUGCCAGCAGCCGCGGUAAUACGUAGGUGGCAAGCGUUAUCCGGAAUUAUUGGGCGUAAAGCGCGCGUAGGCGGUUUUUUAAGUCUGAUGUGAAAGCCCACGGCUCAACCGUGGAGGGUCAUUGGAAACUGGAAAACUUGAGUGCAGAAGAGGAAAGUGGAAUUCCAUGUGUAGCGGUGAAAUGCGCAGAGAUAUGGAGGAACACCAGUGGCGAAGGCGACUUUCUGGUCUGUAACUGACGCUGAUGUGCGAAAGCGUGGGGAUCAAACAGGAUUAGAUACCCUGGUAGUCCACGCCGUAAACGAUGAGUGCUAAGUGUUAGGGGGUUUCCGCCCCUUAGUGCUGCAGCUAACGCAUUAAGCACUCCGCCUGGGGAGUACGACCGCAAGGUUGAAACUCAAAGGAAUUGACGGGGACCCGCACAAGCGGUGGAGCAUGUGGUUUAAUUCGAAGCAACGCGAAGAACCUUACCAAAUCUUGACAUCCUUUGACAACUCUAGAGAUAGAGCCUUCCCCUUCGGGGGACAAAGUGACAGGUGGUGCAUGGUUGUCGUCAGCUCGUGUCGUGAGAUGUUGGGUUAAGUCCCGCAACGAGCGCAACCCUUAAGCUUAGUUGCCAUCAUUAAGUUGGGCACUCUAAGUUGACUGCCGGUGACAGACCGGAGGAAGGUGGGGAUGACGUCAAAUCAUCAUGCCCCUUAUGAUUUGGGCUACACACGUGCUACAAUGGACAAUACAAAGGGCAGCGAAACCGCGAGGUCAAGCAAAUCCCAUAAAGUUGUUCUCAGUUCGGAUUGUAGUCUGCAACUCGACUACAUGAAGCUGGAAUCGCUAGUAAUCGUAGAUCAGCAUGCUACGGUGAAUACGUUCCCGGGUCU